GACGUAGGGUCCAAGCGUUGUCCGGAUUUACUGGGCGUAAAGCGCGUGUAGGCGGUCUGUUAAGUGCCCAAGUGAAAGCUCCGGGCUCAACUCGGAAAUUGCUUUGCAUACUGGCAGGCUGGAGGGACGCAGAGGUCUGUGGAAUUCCUGGUGUAACGGUGAAAUGUGUUGAUAUCAGGAGGAACACCCAUGGCGAAGGCAGCAGACUGGGCGUUUCCUGACGCUGAGACGCGAAAGCGUGGGUAGCAAACAGG
rnacentral:rRNA from 1 species